rnacentral:lncRNA from 1 species
GAAAAACCUAGAGCGAAUUAAAUUGUGUGUCAGCUUCGUGUGUAUACAUAUAGUCUUUCCUAUGCAUUAGGUUUUUCGCGUAAUGCAUUACCAGUUGACAGCCUAUCUUAUGAUGUGUACUCUGUUUACAUUACAGUUGUUUAUUAGUUUACUCGUUUGUUUUGCGACUUAAUUAUGAAACGCCGGCAUAUAUAUAUUUUCAACAUUUGACAUAACCCUGUAUGUUUUGUAGCGACAACCCAGGGCGUGCAUUUCUCAGCACCCAGUCAACUGCCAGAAGUGACUCAAACACAGGCCACCAGUGGCACUCGGCUGUACCACUGCAGUGCUGCAGAAAUUGCCAGCACCAGCGGCUUUGCAACAGCUGUUUCACAGCAUGUCGGAGACAAUGCCUACGAAAUUAUUGGCCCUGAUGACGAGAGCCUUCAGGGGGCAAACGACAUCUCUGUUGCAGAAGUGAGCCCGAUACUACCUGAAGUUACCAUGACAGAUGACACGGCAACAAUAGAUACAGAGACUGUCAUGUCUACUGCAGCUGCAACAGUGUACGAGGCAAGCAGCAGCGCGUCAGCAUCAGCAGCAGCGUCAGAAGGAACCACACCAGGCCUGGUAGAGCGACAUGUGUGCUAUCACUGUGACUUUUUUUCUAGUGCAUACAACUCAUUUGCUCAACAUACAAAAGCUUUUCACCACGACUGUGAGCCAGUGUUCUUGUGCAAGUGCAAGAUUAAGUUAGGUGUUAUA